GAUGAACGCUGGCGGCGUGCCUAAUACAUGCAAGUCGAGCGAACGGACGAGAAGCUUGCUUCUCUGAUGUUAGCGGCGGACGGGUGAGUAACACGUGGAUAACCUACCUAUAAGACUGGGUUAACUUCGGGAAACCGGAGCUAAUACCGGAUAAUAUUUUGAACCGCAUGGUUCAAAAGUGAAAGACGGUCCUGCUGUCACUUAUAGAUGGAUCCGCGCUGCAUUAGCUAGUUGGUAAGGUAACGGCUUACCAAGGCAACGAUGCAUAGCCGACCUGAGAGGGUGAUCGGCCACACUGGAACUGAGACACGGUCCAGACUCCUACGGGAGGCAGCAGUAGGGAAUCUUCCGCAAUGGGCGAAAGCCUGACGGAGCAACGCCGCGUGAGUGAUGAAGGUCUUCGGAUCGUAAAACUCUGUUAUUAGGGAAGAACAUAUGUGUAAGUAACUGUGCACAUCUUGACGGUACCUAAUCAGAAAGCCACGGCUAACUACGUG
rnacentral:rRNA from 1 species